UCUUGACUGGAAAAUUCCAUGAACAGAGAAGCCUGGUGGGCUACAGUCCAUUGGGUCAUAAAGAGACAUGACUGAGCGUGCACACUCACACACACAACUGAAUGAGUAGAAUUCCUAAUGUUGACUGAGUCAAAUAACUGAAUCAGGAACUAGACCAAGCCUCAUCUAGUUCAACCACUUCCCAGUUUAUCGUUGGACAGAUUUUGUUCAGAGUGCUGCUAUGAUGAUGGUGGCUGGAGAAAUGCAGGGGCUGGGGAUCGGGAGGAGCCCCUUUGGGGCCAGCCCUGCUCCGCCUCCCACGGGGCAGCACAUCUCAUAUGUGAUCACUAGGUCUUUCCAUGGCGACCGUCCAGUUCUGUGGCAUUGAGCACUGGCACAGAUGCUUGGCUUUGUGCCCAUGCCAACCAGCCUUUUCCAGCAGGCCCGUGCCAAGCUUACCUCUUUUCUUUCUCCAAAGGAACAAAUCAAUCUUUUGCCAACUUCUAAAAUUAGCUUGCCUUGCUUCUCAUUUGCUUGGUUGGAAUUCUUCCUUUAUUCUGGCCACUCAAUCCUUUGCUGGUGACAGGUGUUGUGAAUAUUUUAUCCCAGUCCACAGCUUAACUUUUCAGCAUGGGAUCCUAGCUGUCCUAGCGAGCCUAAGGGUACAGCACACCAAAGAAGACCCCCUGGCCCCAAGGAGAUCUCAGAAAAGUUGCGCUGUGCUCAGUCACUGGGUUCUGUCUGACUCUUUAUGACCCUGUGAACUGUAGCCUGUCAGGCUCCUCUGUCCAUGGAAUUCUCCAGGCAAGAAUACUGGAGUGGGUUGCCAUGCCCUCCUCCAGGGGAUCUUCCCAACCCAGGGAUCAAACCUGGGUCUCCUGCAUUGCAGGGAGAUUCGUUACUGUCUGAACCGCCAGCGGCAUCCAAAUAGAGGUCUGGCCUAUCUCUGGGAGGUGAUCUCUAAGCCCUCUGAAUGUCCUGCCUGAUGAAUGUCUGUUUGCUGUGGACUUUGGCUCAUGCCAGAGAGUCUAACAGUGUGAUUUCUGGUGAGUCUUUGUGUCAUGUGGUAUCAAAUUGAUCUCCAGAGAGGCUGGAGACAGGCCAGUCCUGGGGACA